rnacentral:rRNA from 2 species
UGAGCCGCGUCCAGACUCUUACGGAGCAGGCAGUGGGGAAUUUGCACAAUGAGCGCAUCUGAUGCAGACAUGCCGCGUAUAUGAAGAAGCUUCGGUUGUAAAGUCACUUUCAGUCGUGAGGACAGGUGCGUCAGUCAUAGCGGCAUCAUUGACGUUAGCUGACAGAAGAAGCACGGCUAACUCCGUGCCAGCAGCCGCGGUAAUACUGAGGGGUCAGAGCGUUAAUCGGAAUUUCUGGGCGUAAAGCGCAUGCAGGUGGUUUGUUAAGUCAGAUGUGAAAGCCCGGGGCUCAACCUCGGAAUAGCAUUUGAAACUGGCAGACUAGAGUACUGUAGAGGGAGGUAGAAUUUCAGGUGUAGCGGUGAAAUGGGUAGAGAUCUGAAGGAAUACCGGUGGGGAAGGCGGCCUCCUGGACAGAUACUGACACUCAGAUGCGAAAGCGUGGGGAGCAACCAGGAUUAGAUACCCUGGUAGUCCACGCCGUAAACGAUGUCUACUUGGAGGUUGUGGCCUUGAGCCGUGGCUUUCGGAGCUAACGCGUUAAGUAGUCCGCCUGGGGAGUACGGUCGCAAGAUUAAAACUCAAAUGAAUUGACGGGGGCCCGCACAAGCGGUGGAGCAUGUGGUUUAAUUCGAUGCAACGCGAAGAACCUUACCUACUCUUGACAUCCAGAGAACUUUCCAGAGAUGGAUUGGUGCCUUCGGGAACUAUGAGACAGGUGCUGCAUGGCGGUCGUCAGCUCGUGUUGUGAAAUGUUGGGUUAAGUCCCGCAACGAGCGCAACCCUUAUCCUUGUUUGCCAGCGAGUAAUGUCGGGAACUCCAGGGAGACUGCCGGUGAUAAACCGGAGGAAGGUGGGGACGACGUCAAGUCAUCAUGGCCCUUACGAGUAGGGCUACACACGUGCUACAAUGGCGCAUACAGAGGGCGGCCAACUUGCGAAAGUGAGCGAAUCCCAAAAAGUGCGUCGUAGUCCGGAUUGGAGUCUGCAACUCGACUCCAUGAAGUCGGAAUCGCUAGUAAUCGUGGAUCAGAAUGCCACGGUGAAUACGUUCCCGGUCCUUGUCCACACCGCCCGUCCCACCAUGGGAGUGGGCUCCAAAAGAAGUAGGUAGUUUAACCUACGGAGGGACGCGUACUACAGUUUUGCAGGC